GAUGUCCUUGUCUGGGAAAUUUUAUGACUCUUUGUCUCCAAGCAUGGUAUUUUGCAUAUGUAAUUCGAUUGGGUGUUGAUGCACAAACUAGUAAAGAUUCUUAGAACAU